GCGAACGGGUGAGUAACACGUGGGCAAUCUGCCCUUCACUCUGGGACAAGCCCUGGAAACGGGGUCUAAUACCGGAUAACACUCCUGUCCUCCUGGGCGGGGGUUAAAAGCUCCGGCGGUGAAGGAUGAGCCCGCGGCCUAUCAGCUUGUUGGUGAGGUAAUGGCUCACCAAGGCGACGACGGGUAGCCGGCCUGAGAGGGCGACCGGCCACACUGGGACUGAGACACGGCCCAGACUCCUACGGGAGGCAGCAGUGGGGAAUAUUGCACAAUGGGCGAAAGCCUGAUGCAGCGACGCCGCGUGAGGGAUGACGGCCUUCGGGUUGUAAACCUCUUUCAGCAGGGAAGAAGCGAAAGUGACGGUACCUGCAGAAGAAGCGCCGGCUAACUACGUGCCAGCAGCCGCGGUAAUACGUAGGGCGCAAGCGUUGUCCGGAAUUAUUGGGCGUAAAGAGCUCGUAGGCGGCUUGUCACGUCGGGUGUGAAAGCCCGGGGCUUAACCCCGGGUCUGCAUUCGAUACGGGCUAGCUAGAGUGUGGUAGGGGAGAUCGGAAUUCCUGGUGUAGCGGUGAAAUGCGCAGAUAUCAGGAGGAACACCGGUGGCGAAGGCGGAUCUCUGGGCCAUUACUGACGCUGAGGAGCGAAAGCGUGGGGAGCGAACAGGAUUAGAUACCCUGGUAGUCCA
rnacentral:rRNA from 1 species